UUGAAAGGGAAACGAUUGAAGUCAGUCAUGCCGGUGAGAAAUCAGCUCACAGGCUACUGUGGGUGCACUUUUUCGCAAGGCAGGUUAACAUCGGUUUCUGUUGCGUCAUAAUAAUUGUAGGAAGGUGGCUCCUUCGGGAGUGUUAUAGCCUACUUUAGAUGUCGCGACGGGGACUGAGGAUUGCAGCGGAUGCCUUUGGCUACGGGUCUUGUCUCUGUCGAUCUUUAAUUAG
rnacentral:rRNA from 1 species